rnacentral:rRNA from 1 species
GCUAGCUUGCUAUAAUUCUCUAGUGGCGCACGGGUGAGUAACACGUGAGUAACCUGCCCCCAAGAGUGGGAUAGCCCCGGGAAACUGGGAUUAAUACCGCAUAAAAUCGCAAGAUUAAAGCAGCAAUGCGCUUGGGGAUGGGCUCGCGUCCUAUUAGUUAGUUGGUGAGGUAACGGCUCACCAAGGCGAUGACGGGUAGCCGGUCUGAGAGGAUGUCCGGCCACACUGGAACUGAGACACGGUCCAGACACCUACGGGUGGCAGCAGUCGAGAAUCAUUCACAAUGGGGGAAACCCUGAUGGUGCGACGCCGCGUGGGGGAAUGAAGGUCUUCGGAUUGUAAACCCCUGUCAUGUGGGAGCAAAUUAAAAAGAUAGUACCACAAGAGGAAGAGACGGCUAACUCUGUGCCAGCAGCCGCGGUAAUACAGAGGUCUCAAGCGUUGUUCGGAAUCACUGGGCGUAAAGCGUGCGUAGGCGGUUUCGUAAGUCGUGUGUGAAAGGCGGGGGCUCAACCCCCGGACUGCACAUGAUACUGCGAGACUAGAGUAAUGGAGGGGGAACCGGAAUUCUCGGUGUAGCAGUGAAAUGCGUAGAUAUCGAGAGGAACACUCGUGGCGAAGGCGGGUUCCUGGACAUUAACUGACGCUGAGGCACGAAGGCCAGGGGAGCGAAAGGGAUUAGAUACCCCUGUAGUCCUGGCAGUAAACG